ACGAAAAUGCGGAAUGACACCUCCGCGGGCCAUGCCCAAACCGCCGAAAGGCUGAUGGCGUCUACUCUUGC
rnacentral:ncRNA from 1 species